rnacentral:ncRNA from 2 species
GCGCUACGUCAGGGGAGUCCCGCCUAGGGGACUGAGAGGCAGAUAGGGGGCGACCCCGGUGAUGCGACCCUUUGAACCUGACCCAGUUGAUGCUGGCGUAGGAAGACCGAAGGGCAUUUUC